AACCACCUGUUCAUAUAAGACAAGCAAAAAGCUUUAGAUGCGCAUCGCAAUGAUGGUCCUCUGUAUGCAACUCAAGCAUCGAAGUCUAGAAAGGUAGCAGAGGAACAUGAAGAUCGUAUGAAGAAGCAUGGAGAUUCAUGUUCAUGGAUAACAGGUUAAGAGAAGGGAGCUGACCGCUGAAGGCGAGGCCGUAGGCGGCGACGACGGAGGUCUGGAUGACGGUGUUCUCCUGGCGGGUGAAGGGGGUGCGGAGGAGGCCGGCGUGCUCCAGGGCCUUGGUCCAGAGCUUGACGAAGAAGAAGCCGAGGAGGCCGGCGGCGACGUUGAGG